rnacentral:rRNA from 1 species
CACGGGGGGAGCGAACGUUGUUCGGAAUCACUGGGCGUAAAGGGCGUGUAGGCGGUUCGGUAAGUGGAAUGUGAAAUCCCCCGGCUUACCCGGGGAACUGCAUCCCAUACUGCUGGACUUGAGUGCGGGAGAGGAUGGAGGAAUUCCUGGUGUAGCGGUGAAAUGCGUAGAUAUCAGGAAGAACACCUAUGGCGAAGGCAGCUCUCUGGGACGGUACUGACGGCUGAGACGCGAAAGCGUGGGGAGCGAACAGG